GACGAACGCUGGCGGCGUGCUUAACACAUGCAAGUCGAACGGAAAGGCCCUGCUUUUGUGGGGUGCUCGAGUGGCGAACGGGUGAGUAACACGUGAGUAACCUGCCCUUGACUUUGGGAUAACUUAAGGAAACUGGGGCUAAUACAGGAUAGGAGCUCCUGCUGCAUGGUGGGGGUUGGAAAGUUUCGGCGGUUGGGGAUGGACUCGCGGCUUAUCAGCUUGUUGGUGGGGUAGUGGCUUACCAAGGCUUCGACGGGUAGCCGGCCUGAGAGGGUGACCGGCCACAUUGGGACUGAGAUACGGCCCAGACUGAUACGGGAGGCAGCAGUGGGGAAUAUUGCACAAUGGGCGGAAGCCUGAUGCAGCAACGCCGCGUGCGGGAUGACGGCCUUCGGGGUGUAAACCGCUUUCGCCUGUGACGAAGCGUGAGUGACGGUAAUGGGUAAAGAAGCACCGGCUAACUACGUG
rnacentral:rRNA from 1 species